UUACACAAAUAUGAAGGCGGGCUGGAACCUCUCGGGGUUACAGCCUUGCUGAAUUAUUCACCCUUGUCUUUUGCGUACUUCUUGUUUCCUUGGUGGGUUCGCCCACCACUAGGACAAACAUAAACCUUUUGUAAUUGCAAUCAGCGUCAGUAACAAAUUAAUAAUUACAACUUUCAACAACGGAUCUCUUGGUUCUGGCAUCGAUGAAGAACGCAGCGAAAUGCGAUAAGUAGUGUGAAUUGCAGAAUUCAGUGAAUCAUCGAAUCUUUGAACGCACAUUGCGCCCUUUGGUAUUCCAAAGGGCAUGCCUGUUCGAGCGUCAUUUGUACCCUCAAGCUUUGCUUGGUGUUGGGCGUCUUGUCUCUAGCUUUGCUGGAGACUCGCCUUAAAGUAAUUGGCAGCCGGCCUACUGGUUUCGGAGCGCAGCACAAGUCGCACUCUCUAUCAGCAAAGGUCUAGCAUCCAUUAAGCCUUUUUUUCAACUUUUGACCUCGGAUCAGGUAGGGAUACCCGCUGAACUUAAGCAUAUCAAUAAGCGGAGGAAAAGAAACCAACAGGGAUUGCCCUAGUAACGGCGAGUGAAGCGGCAACAGCUCAAAUUUGAAUCUGGCUCUUUUAGAGUCCGAGUUGUAAUUUGCAGAGGGCGCUUUGGCUUUGGCAGCGGUCCAAGUUCCUUGGAACAGGACGUCACAGAGGGUGAGAAUCCCGUACGUG
rnacentral:rRNA from 1 species